CAGCUGAAUAGCUUUUCUUAAAACCUGGACAUUCACCAAAAAGAAGUUUGCCAGCACAGACAAUUAAGCUUUCUUCUUUGAACAAUGGAGUGACUGACUGGCACAUUUGAAAUGCAAGCGUGUUUUUUUAUUCCACUGUUCAUCCUUCAAGCUGAUAAACAGCAACAAUGGGAAACAGCUGGGACAGGAAAACAUUUGAGUUUGUAUUUUCAAAGCAAGCAAGAAAGAAACCCGUCAGUGUGGGCCAGAUCCCGUCUUCCGCCUGAGGGAAACCCUACAACUAACAGACAAGAUGCCAUCAAGACAUCUUGA
rnacentral:lncRNA from 1 species